AAGGAAACACUUUGCCGGAGAAGGAGGCGGCGAAAGUGAAGAUGGGCGCCCGGGUCUCGGCGUUGAGCAGGGCCACGCGCCCCGCCUCGUAGUCCAGGGCGACGCCCACGCGGCGCGGGAUCUCGCUCAGCGGCAGGAGGCAGAGGAUGACAGCUCUUGUACCUGACCUGCAAGUGGUGCUGUGCUAGCAGAUGGGAAAUGUGGGGAACUUCUCAGGACCAGAAGUUAGUGAGAAGGAGCGAUCCAACUGAGAAGCUGGUGCUCCUUCCAGAAACUGGCUGAUCAUGUGACCCUGGUAUCCUGUGUGGAUCACCCAUCCUGCCCCCUUGGAAUAAACAGAGGAAGAGCCUCCAGUCGACCCCGGAGACGGUCCUGCGGAGAGAAGAACCGGCCAGAAGAAGAGGCUGAAGUCACAAUUCAACUCACAGAUAUUGUCUGCUGUCUUCCGGGCACACUGUUAAGUGCUGAGGAAUUCAAAGGUGAAAAAAGCCCAGUUCUUGCCCCUAAAAGAUCACCAUCUAGGGGCAGAGUCACAAGUGAUUAAAAUACAAAUGGACAAAUGCAACAGUCAAAUGCACAGGUGUGGGCACAGGAGAGAUGACAGCAGCACAGCGGAGGGGACAGUUCUGACUGGAGGGAAGAAAAGGCUUUAGAAAGCAGAAACUGGAGAUCAGUGACAUCUCCCCCGGGGACACAGGUUCAAUCCCUGGCUGGGCACAGUGGCUUAAAGGAUCUGGCGUUGCUGCAGCUCCGAUCUGAUCCCUAGCCUGGGAACUCCAUAUGCCUCAGGGCACCCAAAAAAGGAAAAAAAAAAAAAAAAAAAAAAAAAAGAAGCAGAAACCGGUUACAGUGAGCCUUGAAAGAUAAAUUUCCAGUUGGGUACGAGAGGGGUAGGAGAGUAUUUAAUGUCUCUGAACUGUACACUAACAAAUAGUAAAAAUGGUUAAAAAAAAAAAAAGAAUGAGAGGAAAGGAGAGCUUUGCAAAAGGAAGGAGCUACAUGGUAAAAGCAUUAGAAGCAAGAAAGGAAGUUAAUUCAGCAAACAGCAGGUACCAAUGGCCAGUCUGGCACUGGACAUAUGGUGCCAGGGGCCGGCAGCUGAGCCAUGAGACUGGACAAGAAGGCAGGAUCCUGCCUGCAGGUGGCCUUGAAGCCUUGCUAAAGUCACAGGCUUUCUUUGGGCCCUAGGGAUCCAGGGGCGGAUUAUGGAAGGGGAGGGACAUGAUGGGGUGUGUGAUUUGGGAAGCUUGGCAGGUGACCGGAAAGGGGAGCAUAGGCUGGAGCCUGGAUGACAGGUGGGCAGCCUGGAUUUGGGGGUGGCGGUUGUGGAGAUGAUGCAGAGGGAAAGAUGAGCCAAGCUUCUGAGGAGGCCAUUUCCAGAGCUGGAGCCUGGGUGACAAGCAAGAGAUCUGAGAGGCAGACGGAAUGAUAAUGUCCCCAAGACCAGAUGGGCUAGUAUCUGCCACACCUCCUGCUCUCAAAAACAAGAGCUCUGCUUGGAGGAAGCCUUCUUGGACUCUCUCUCCUCUCUGAGCCCCAGCAGUCAAGGGCUGGAUGGCUUCAUCCAGGAAGCCCACGGCGUGGGCCUGGUGGGAGGGACCCUCCCGGCAGAAGACACAGAGGAACUCGGCAUCAUUCUCGCAGAAGAAGUAGAUCUUCUCGCCAUGCUCCUCGCAG